CAGGAGGAGGCGGAAAGGGCGCGCUCCCGUGUCACGUGACCGGGACGUGCCGCUCUUCCGCCGGCCAUUUUAGGUGGUUCGCGGCGGCGCCAUUAAAGCCAGGAGGAGGCAAGAGCGGCCGCCGCUGCUGCAUUUUCUUUUCAGCGCUACCGGGGCGAGCGGGAGUGCGCGCCGUGCAAGAGUGGGAGGAGCGGGGAGGGGGGGAGGGAGGCCAGAGAAGCCGCGCGCGCGCGCGCCCGCCUGCCCGUGUGUGUCCGUGUCCGUGUGUGUGCCUGUGCCUGUGCGUGUGCGUGUGGGGGGGCGCCUCGCGCGUUAAAUCGAGCGAGCGCGCGGCGGCGGCGGCGCGGCGGCUGGGAUUACUUUGCUGCUAGUUUCGGUUCGCGGCGGCGGCUGCGGCGGAGGCGGCUGCGGCGGGCGUAGUCUCGGAGGCGGCGGCGGCGGCAGCAUGUCGGAGGAGCAUUUCGGCGGGGACGGGGCGGCGGCGGCGGCGGCCCCGGAGGCGGGCGGCGGCGCAGCGGCGGCAGCGGCGGAGCAGGAGGGAGCCAUGGCGGCGGCUGCGGUGGCGGCAGCAGCGACGGCAGCGCCGGCCGCCCCGGCAGCAGCGCCGGCGGCAGGCGCCGGGGCCGGGGCCGGGGCUGGGGCCGGAGCUGGAGCCGGGGCUGGAGCCGGGGCUGGAGCCGGAGCCGGGGCCGGGACCGGGGCCGGGGCCGGGAGCGGCGGCGAAGGUACCGAGGGGCCCGGUGCCGAAUCGGAGGGGGCCAAGAUCGACGCCAGUAAGAACGAGGAGGACGAAGGCCAUUCAAACUCCUCCCCACGGCACUCUGAAGCAGCGACGGCACAGCGGGAAGAAUGGAAAAUGUUUAUAGGAGGCCUUAGCUGGGACACUACAAAGAAAGAUCUGAAGGACUACUUUUCCAAAUUUGGUGAAGUUGUAGACUGCACUCUGAAGUUAGAUCCAAUCACAGGGCGAUCAAGGGGUUUUGGCUUUGUACUAUUUAAAGAAUCGGAGAGUGUAGAUAAGGUCAUGGACCAGAAAGAACACAAAUUGAAUGGCAAAGUGAUUGAUCCUAAAAGGGCCAAAGCCAUGAAAACAAAAGAGCCUGUUAAAAAAAUUUUUGUUGGUGGCCUUUCUCCAGAUACACCUGAAGAGAAAAUAAGGGAGUACUUUGGUGGUUUUGGUGAGGUGGAAUCUAUAGAGCUCCCCAUGGACAACAAGACCAACAAGAGGCGUGGAUUCUGCUUUAUUACUUUUAAGGAAGAAGAACCAGUGAAGAAAAUAAUGGAAAAGAAAUAUCACAACGUUGGUCUUAGUAAAUGUGAAAUAAAAGUAGCCAUGUCAAAGGAGCAAUAUCAACAACAGCAGCAGUGGGGAUCCAGAGGAGGAUUUGCAGGAAGAGCUCGUGGAAGAGGUGGUGGCCCCAGUCAAAACUGGAACCAGGGAUAUAGUAACUAUUGGAAUCAAGGCUAUGGCAACUAUGGAUAUAACAGCCAAGGUUACGGUGGUUAUGGAGGAUAUGACUACACUGGUUACAACAACUACUAUGGAUAUGGUGAUUAUAGCAACCAGCAGAGUGGUUAUGGGAAAGUGUCCAGGCGAGGCGGUCAUCAAAAUAGCUACAAACCAUACUAAAUUAUUCCAUUUGCAACCUCUCCCCAACAGCGGGAACUUCCUUGCAGGCCCUGUGUCGCGCUGACUUCACGAUUCUCACAGGCCCGCUCAAUGCGGACAGGGUACGAGAUGCUCACGCUCUCGAAUGCUGCCGUUUGGUGGAGAAGCAGUAUUUUCCGAUUUGAAGAUUCAUUUGAAGGUGGCUUGUGCCACUUGCUAAUAGCAGUUCAAACUAAAUUUUUUUGUAUCAAGUCCCUGAAUGGAAGUAUGACGUUGGGUCCCUCUGAAGUUUUAAUUCUGAGUUCUCAUUAAAAAACAAAAUUUGAUUUAAUUGUUUUAUUUCUUAAUUGCUAUGCUUCAGAAUGAAUUUGUGUUUUAUGCCCCUCCCCAGUAUUGUAGAGCAAGUCUUGUGUUAAAAGCCCAGUGUGACCGUGUCAUGAUGUAGUAGUGUCUUACUGGUUUUUUAAUAAAUCCUUUUGUAUAAAAA